rnacentral:rRNA from 1 species
UACGUAGGGCGCAAGGCGUUGUCCGGAAUCAUUGGGCGUAAAGAGCUCGUAGGUGGUCUGUUACGUCUGCUGUGAAAUCCUAGGGCUUAACCCUGGGCCUGCAGUGGAUACGGGCAGACUAGAGGUAGGUAGGGGAGAAUGGAAUUCCCGGUGUAGCGGUGAAAUGCGCAGAUAUCGGGAGGAACACCGGUGGCGAAGGCGGUUCUCUGGGCCUUACCUGACACUGAGGAGCGAAAGCGUGGGGAGCGAACAGG